AAGUCGGGCCUGCCCACUGAGUAAUUAUAGGGCCGCGGUAAUUAGACCGUGCAAAGGUAGCAUAAUCAUUAGUCUUUUAAUUGAGGGCUUGUAUGAAUGGUUUGACGAAGUAUUAGCUGUCUCUUUAAAGUAUAUAGAAUUUAUUUUUAAAGUUAAAAAACUAAAAUUGAUGUAUGGGACGAGAAGACCCUAUAGAGCUUUAUAUAAUUGUAUAAUAUAUUUGUUUAGAAAAAAGUUUUUUAUAUUUUAUGAUUAUAUUAUGUUGGGGCGACAUAAAGAUAAAAAAAACUCUUUAUUUAUAUUAUCAAAAAUUUAUGAAUACAAGAUCCAAUAUUAUAGAUUAAAAGAAAAAGUUACCAAAGGGAUUACAGCGUUUUCACUUCAGAGUUCUUAUCGAAAGAGAACAUUGCGACCUCGAUGUUGGAUUAAAAGAAAGAUUAAAUGCAGUAGUUAUAUUAAUAAGUCUGUUCGACUUUAUAAUUCUUAC
rnacentral:rRNA from 1 species